GACGAACGCUGGCGGCGUGCCUAACACAUGCAAGUUGAGCGACGAACCAGGGCUUGCCCUGGGGCAAAGCAGCGAACGGGUGAGUAACACGUGGGUAACCUACCCCGAUAACCGGGACAACCCGAGGAAACUCGGGCUAAUACCGGAUGUGCUCACUGGACUUCGGUUCAGUGCGUAAAGGAAGCUUCGGCCUCCGUAUCGGGAGGGGCCUGCGGCCCAUUAGUUUGUUGGUGAGGUAACGGCUCAACAAGACCGCGAUGGGUAGCUGGUCUGAGAGGACGGUCAUCCACACUGGGACUGAGACACGGCCCAGACUCCUACGGGAGGCAGCAGUGGGGAAACUUGCGCAAUGCGCGAAAGCGUGACGCAGCAACGCCGCGUGGGGGAAGAAGGCCUUCGGGUUGUAAACCCCUUUCAGGAGGGACGAAGGUUCGGCGGUGAAUAGCCGUCCGGACUGACGGUACCUCCACAAGAAGCCCCGGCUAACUACGUG
rnacentral:rRNA from 1 species